rnacentral:tRNA from 1 species
CCUUCGAUAGCUCAGCUGGUAGAGCGGAGGACUGUAGGCUGACUGUAAAAGAAAUCCUUAGGUCGCUGGUUCAAUUCCGGCUCGAAGGA